rnacentral:rRNA from 1 species
UACAGAGGUCUCAAGCGUUGUUCGGAUUCAUUGGGCGUAAAGGGUGCGUAGGCGGCGCGGUAAGUCGGGUGUGAAAUCUCGGAGCUUAACUCCGAAACUGCAUUCGAUACUGCCGUGCUUGAGGACUGGAGAGGAGACUGGAAUUUACGGUGUAGCGGUGAAAUGCGUAGAUAUCGUAAGGAAGACCAGUGGCGAAGGCGGGUCUCUGGACAGUUCCUACGUGAGGCACGAAGGUCAGGGGAGCAAACGGG